GUGCUCCUUUCUGGCAGCGCAUAUAGUAAAACUGGAACAACAGGGAAAAAAUUAGCAUGCCCCCCCCACACAAGUAUGACAUACAAAUUUGUGAUGUCAUUUUUUCUUUU
rnacentral:snRNA from 1 species